GCCCAAGAAAUGGCAAAAAGACCAAAAAAUAAAUAAAUAAAUAAACAAAUAAAAAUUUAAAAAAAUAAAAUAAAAAAUUCAGGACCCAUAAAAGUUCCCACUUUAUGACUGGUUGACAUAUCUUUUGUCUUUUUUCAUUAGCAGACUCUCUUCCAUCUCUUUCCCUUACAAUUUAUUCAUAGAAGAAACCAAGUAUUUUGACCCUCAAAGUCUGACACCAUCUGGAUCUUGCAGAUUAUAUCCCUGUGGUAUAAUUUAACAGUCCCUCUGCCUUCAUACUUAUUUCCUUUAAGCUCUAGAGGCUUGAUCAGAUUCAAGUUCAGUUUGUUUUAUGAGUGUUGCAUCAGUAAGUCUUUGUUUCUUCUAUCAGGUUGCCCAUGAGGUCAGGUUUGUUCUCUCUUUUUUCUUUUUUCCAUUGUUUUUUGCAGGAAUUUAAUAUAUUAAUGUACAUCAUGAAUCAUCAAGAAAGAAAGGAUACUGUGUUCCACAUUCCCCAAACUUAUUUAAGAUUAAAAUAAUUUUUGGCAGAACAUCUAAUAGAGGCAGUAUUUAGCCCAGCAAGCUUUAAGAAACAUUGCCCUGUAUUAAUUGAUUAAAGCUUUUCACCUCCAGAGAGGUUAGGCUCUGUCUUUUUGUCCUGUCCUCAACCAUCAAUGUUCAGUAUUGAUUCAGAAUUUCAUUCAGAACUUGCAAGAUGAAGAAAUUCUAUCCUUCCUUUUUCAUACAUUAACUAUAAUCCUUCUGUAAUAUAACUUUCUCUUUCUCAAAUAGUUACCCAAUUGUAGAGUUCAUAAUGGAAAACAGGAUACAUUUGUGUUUCCUUCCUCCCAUCCUCCAAUUUCUUUUUAGUAUCAUUUUGAACUCAUUGAGUUUAACAUAUUUGAUGAGCUUGAAUCUACUCCAGUUAUUUUAAUCAUGUUCGUGCUCAAAUCACCCCAUCUUGGCCAGUGGGAAUCUUUUCAAAUUGACCUCUGCGAGUCAUUUUGAGAUGAUCCCAUCAGUGUUUGAUAGCUCCUUGCCUCUUAAAUGAGAAGCUAUUCCAUCUGGUAGAUUUCCUGUUCUAGAUUUCCAAUCAGCUCUUUCUCCUAAAAGCUUUGUCUUUUUUUUUUUUUAGUUAAUGGUGUCUGGAAACCAUAGCCUAGGUGCUAGAAGUCUGACCACUCUUAAAAGAUAUCAAUUUGGUCACAUUUUUUUUGGAUAUUGUAAAGAAUUCUCUGCAAACUGUAAACAGCCCUAAAAACACUUGACUGUUUAAGAAUGAAUUAAUUGGAUCUCUUGCUUCCUAUAAUUGCUUAUGUUUCUGUGUCCCCACUGAGGCCAAGUAUUAGAACCAUAACUUCUCCAUCACCAGCUCCUGACCCAAAAUUUGCAGCAUGCUAGACACUCGAAAUAUAAUCAAUGGGUGAGAAAAAUCAGGCUUUAGACGCUGAAAGAAAGUGCCAAAAAUGAGUUUCAGAAAUAUGAGGAGAAAUAGCCGCAUAAUGAGAAUAACUCAGUGGCCUCUGAAGUCAUGACUUCAGAGGUUUAACAUUUGCUCGGGUGUUUAAGUUCAUGUAUGCUUGUUUAAAAAGCAGCUACUUUAAGGCGUAGCCUCUAUAUUUAAAAGAACACUUCUGUGAAAAGAUGCAAAUCUUAUUUCCUUUCAACCUAAAGUAACUGUCAAAUAGAGACAAAGAUGGGCGAGGCAGGGGUAGGGUGGGGAUGAAUGGCAGGUUGGUUGAGAGAUAGGCGGCCUUUGGUUAGUGGGUGGGGGAAGCACAUGCCUGUGAUGUGCCUGUGAAGUUGCAGAUAAGCCCAGAGCCGUUUGGAGCCUUUGAGUGGAAGGGGUCCGAGCUGAAGUACAUGCCUUGGUAGGAAGCCGAAUAAGGAGACAGGGGUAGAUCUGGCUCUUCCUGGGGCAGGAAAUGGAUGGAAAUUAGAUUCUGAUUGGCUGGUAGUCUAAGCUUGUCUGACCCUGAAGCUGCCCUUGGCUGCAAGUUGAUGUGACUCAAGCUCCCUCAGCGCACAUCUUCAGGAAAGACAGAGGAGGACAGUCAGUUUUACAUGUAAUCAACUUGCAAUGAGAAAUUUGGAAUGCGAUUCCGUGGUUCUUUCCAUACCUCCUGGGAAAGUUUUCAGUGAGUGGCUGGCUUUUCAUCAGCUAAAAAUAAUAAAAGGCAAACAAAGAGAAAUGUUUCACAAGAAAAGAAUGAACUAUGUUGGGAAGAGAUUAUUUUUUUAAGUGUUUUACCACAGGGAUAGAAAAAUGGACCAGCACAUGGUGUUUAUGUUACCACCUCCGAGGUUUCCAGCCACUGCGCCCCAGGACACCGACCCCAGGCAGAAAUCCACGCAGAAAACAUCAAAGCAAACCCAGCAGAAGGAUUCAACUCGAACUUUUCCAAGCGAGAGAGGCACACCUAUUACAGAACUCACCCAUUUGAAUAGCCUGCCACCUUUCCCACAAGGUCUUAUAAAUAAAGCUGGACGACCUUGCAGUGAAUUGGCUCAGUAUCAGUUUUUGGUCGUUGCAUUAAAAUCCUCCUCAACUCCCAGAAAUGGAGACCAGAACAGCCACAGAGCAAAACUCCGAGAAAGCCCGAAAGGGGUGAGAAAAGUCCUUUAUAGACUCUGAAUGGCUUCCUAUAGGUCGUCCCCAUAGAUAAGUUGGUCUUUUCUGCUUCUCCUACUAUUUAAGAUUCCUUGGGGGUUCCACUUCUGUGUUACACGACACAGGGCAUGUGAACGCAACCAUACUUCAGCUUUGGUCACACUGGACAUUUAAACUCUCCCCAAAUGCCCCCCAAAGAAGAGAUGGAGCCCAUGGCCUCUCACUGCCUGCAAUCUGCCAUGAUGCAACUAGCUUCCUCCAGAAACCCUUCUUUUACAGAAUUAUGUGUCAUCUGCCAGUUAAGGAGUCUGCUGGAAAAUGUAUGCAGAUUCCUGGCAAUGCGUUUCCAACGAAAGUUAAGUAUCUUCACGGACAGAAUGAAAAAGCGAAAGACACAUCAUUACUUCUCCCUCCAGUGGCUUUUACAUAGUGAUUGCUCCAGCCGUACUUCAACCUCUAUUUCAUAAGUGAAAUCUGAACUGCCCUCAAAUCAUCUUUAACCCUAAACGCAAACCAGACUUUACACCCACUGUCUGGGAUGCCCAGGGAACAAAUAUUCUAGAAAGCAGAAUUGUGCAUGGGAGGAUCAGCCUGCUGAGAUGCUUCAUUGGACCAAGAACCAUAUUUAGAUGAUUAAGCCCGAAGACUGGGGCUUCUUACCAAAGAAAGGCAACAGGCCUGAGCUCAAAUGAAGAGACUCUUGUUUUUUUUUUUUAAAUGGCAGGUAGAUUAUAUCAGUGCAACUCAAGACCGCUCCCAAAUGAAAAACUAACAGAGCAAUUACUAAAACAAAAUAGA